AGAACCUCGUCAGUUCAUAAAUUUAAAGCAACUCCAUUUCCUUUGCUUUUGAACAAUCCAAACUAGAUGGUGGAUAUACAUUGGAACAAUCAGAAAGCAUUCCCAGACAGCUUAUUACGAUGCAUAACAUUUGACUAACAUAAAUUCAAAGUCGAGCAAAUGAAGGCAAAAAGGCAGAAGGGAAGAGUGAAAAUGGACCCAGAAAUAGGGCGAAGCAUGUCUGCCACACUCGUCUACCUGCUGACCAUGGGUGAACCUCAUGGUGAGCUGUUGACCACAGGAUUCACCACAGAAUUCACUCUCCAGAAGACAAAAACUGCUGUGGAGAUUGGAAAAUUUAUCUUAAAAUAUUAAGGUCAGACAAGAACCUCUGUCAAGGAACAGGAAGUCGUGCCCUGAGGAGACAAGUAGAGGCUGUAGCCAUGGGUGGCUUUGGGGUAGUAGCUGUUGGCUGUGCCUAGAAGGACAUCAUGAAAGUUGUAAGUGCUGCUAAUUGACGUCCCCCAAUUCAUAUGCGGAAGUCCUGGCCCCUAGUACCUCAAGAUGUGCUUGGUUUUGGAGCUGGGGUCUUUAAAGAGUUUUGCAACUACAAAGGGCCCAGAGUUUCCCUUGUGAAUGAGCUCAGCAUCCUCACGUUUCCAAGAGGAAUCAACACUGCAAUUCCUCGGACCACGGUGGCUCUCUUCCCAGCACACCUUUGCUGUGACCUGCACCCCUGCAUUGUCCUCAAAGACACACUAAGAAAACACAUUUCAGAAGGAAGGACGUAACGGAGCUCAUGAUCCAGUUCUGCAUUUGGCGUGGCCCCAAAGACACUGUGUGCAGAGUCAGAAAUAUGCUCCCCAGUUGGACUCCAUGGGAUACUGUUUCAAAAGAGCUAUCAUUCUUGUCUGUUUACCACAUAUCUUGUUCUAAUAGGCUCUUCUUUUCCAGAGUUUUUUAUUUUCCCUGGCAUUUUGUGUUUUGGUAAUUGCCUACAAGAAUAGUUCUAUAACAGAAAUCAACAAUGAAAACCAAAUUACCCCUGCCCACAUCCUUUCAUUCCUUUUUCAUCUCUAAUGAUAUUUUCUGUAUGAUGACUAACCCAGACUGACGUAAUUUAUCAAUUGAUCUUGACGAUGUACAUUAGAAAAUGCAUUCUGCAGGCCCCAGCAGGCCAUCUUCCAUGUGCGCCACGUAGCUUUAGAAAACCUAUUAGUGCAACAGAAAUAUCUAAAGCCCAGCCUUUUUGCUAAGAAUAUUAGAACUGGUGCUAAUUACUUUAUUAAUCAUAAAGUGAAACAGCCGUGCUAUGUCACCACAGCCGUAAAAUAAGUGGUUUUAUGGCAAAAGUAGUUAAAGAGAAAGGACAGAUUGGAUUUAUAUACUCAGCUGGUUAAAAAAAAGAAAUUAUGCAUACCAGCAAUUUUCUUUCUUUGGUUAAAUGUUCAUUAAAUGUGUACCACUAAAAACCAUUUGUAACUAAUUCCCUAGUGGGUCCAUGCCUUAAAAUAAUUUAUUUUAAAAUACAAAUUAAGGCUUAAAUUUGCCUUUUUAUUAAAAAUAGGUAUAAUGAGUCAACAUAUCUCCUAAGAGAAAGGAGCGUUGCAGACAUGCUGAUGAGAGGAAUCUUGUCGCCAAAACCUGGAGGCCAUGCUGGUGUUGGGGACUUAGGCUAUCCUGCAGGUGCCUGUCACCAUUAAGGGCGGCAGAAUUCAGAGGCUUUGGUCCAGGUUAAAGCACAGAGGUGGCCACUGUCUGAAGACAGGGACACCACAAUGACCAUCAUUGAGGGCGAUGUUUAUGCUUCCAUUGUUAGUUUAGAUAUUUUGUUUUCUUUAAAGUCAGUAUUGUCUCUGAGUAAAUAAAAACAAUCUCCAGUUUCUGC
ensembl:lncRNA novel transcript